UAAGUCCAGUAUCAGGCGUUUGUUCAUCCAUCAAGCUCGCUUGUAUGGAUGAACAAACAUCUGAUACGACAACAGAAAUCGAGAAGUAGCGCGAUAGCGCGGAUUCGAGAUGCCUGUAGCAUUACGAGAGCGUCAGCGGAGUAAUGCGUAGGGCUUA
rnacentral:sRNA from 1 species